rfam:Dictyostelium fasciculatum unplaced genomic scaffold Scf_ET5ZYIE02H8LDV-5, whole genome shotgun sequence.
GGCCCAAUAGCUCUAGCGGCAGAGCGUCGGUCUUGUAAACCGAAGGUCAGGAGUUCGAAUCUCCUUUGGGCCA